rnacentral:rRNA from 1 species
UACGGAGGAUGCGAGCGUUAUCCGGAUUUAUUGGGUUUAAAGGGUGCGUAGGCGGGUUAUCAAGUCAGCGGUAAAAUUGCGGGGCUCAACCUCGUCGAGCCGUUGAAACUGGGUGCCUUGAGUGGGCGAGAAGUACGCGGAAUGCGUGGUGUAGCGGUGAAAUGCAUAGAUAUCGCGCAGAACUCCGAUUGCGAAGGCAGCGUACCGGCGCCGGACUGACGCUGAGGCACGAAAGCGUGGGUAUCGAACAGG